rnacentral:rRNA from 1 species
AGGAUGCUUUUGGUGCGGUGCCUUCCAAGUUCCCUAGAACGGGACGCCAGAGAGGGUGAGAGCCCCGUACAGUUGGACACCAAGCCUUUGUAAAGCUCCUUCGACGAGUCGAGUAGUUUGGGAAUGCUGCUCAAAAUGGGAGGUAUAUUUCUUCUAAAGCUAAAUACCGGCCAGAGACCGAUAGCGCACAAGUAGAGUGAUCGAAAGAUGAAAAGCACUUUGAAAAGAGGGUUAAACAGCACGUGAAAUUGUUAAAAGGGAAGCGCUUGUGACCAGACUUGCGUCCGGUGAAUCACCCAGCUCUCGCGGCUGGGGCACUUCGCCGGCUCAGGCCAGCAUCAGCUCGCUGUCGGGGACAAAAGCUUCAGGAACGUAGCUCUCUUCGGGGAGUGUUAUAGCCUGUUGCAUAAUACCCUUCGGCGGGCUGAGGUACGCGCUCCGCAAGGAUGCUGGCAUAAUGGUCAUCAGCGACCCGUCUUGAACCACGGACCA